AGCAUCAUCCUAAAGGACAUUAUCACUUGUGAAAUUAUUUUUAAGCCCGAAUAUCAUCACGUAUAUUAAAUGUUACUUACAGAGGAUGUUUUUUUUUACCAUGUCCUUAUUGUUAUUCAGUUAAGCAACAAACACGUUAGGCUUGACAGUUAAAUAGCUAAUUUUUUUUAGCUUAGCUUUCAGUAUAGACUACAUCCUGAGUGCUAUUUUAUUUCCUACCUAUAUUCUGGAAAGUACCGCCUAUAGCAUGUUUCCGAUUGGUGCGUUUUCAUUGAGUAUAAAACGCUAGCCAAUACUAGGUCAGAAUCACGGAAGGUUCGAGCCAUUCACAGCGAAAGAAGUGCAGCUUGUCGGAAAACGGGUUUGGAAAGUAAUGCAGUAAGACUCGGUAAGCAUAGCAACAGUCCGCCAAAAGUUCAGCACGCUAACAGCUAUUUUGUACCGCGGGAUUGGAGUCGGAGCUCCGUUACACCACUACGGGGCCAGUGGUAAGAUGGCGCUUAAACGAAUACAAAAGGAACUGACUGAUUUGGCCCGAGAUCCUCCUGCACAGUGUUCAGCAGGUCCAGUUGGAGAUGAUGUAUUCCAUUGGCAGGCUACAAUCAUGGGUCCUAACGAGAGUCCCUAUCAGGGUGGUGUUUUCUUCCUGACUAUCCACUUCCCAACAGACUACCCCUUCAAACCGCCAAAGGUUGCAUUCACCACGAGAAUCUACCACCCAAAUAUUAACAGUAACGGCAGCAUCUGUCUGGAUAUCCUCAGGUCCCAGUGGUCUCCUGCACUUACAAUCUCUAAAGUCAUUGCUCCAGUCCAUCCCAAUGAUGUUGGUGUUGAGAUCAGAGCUCUGUGCAGACCACCAAAUUUCCUCCUAUGCAACUAGAAGACAUCUUUGUGGACAUCACUUUGUGCACAGUUCUCUUGUCUAUCUGCUCACUCUUGUGUGAUCCAAACCCAGAUGAUCCUCUCGUACCAGAGAUUGCACGAAUCUACAAAACAGACACAGAAAAAUACAACAGAAUAGCACGGGAAUGGACACAGAAAUAUGCCAUGUGAUGUUGGCAGGACACAUUUACAAACUGUUUAUGCUGUUGUGUUUUGGUCACCGUCUUAACGCCAUUUCAUCACACAUGUCUCUUUUGGAGAAUCUGCAGUUGUCUGCUCAAACAAGACAACAUGACCUGCAGGAGUUGCCAUUUUCAAAUACCAUGUGGACCUCAUACAUCAAGUGGAGUCUUUCUCUACUUCCUGCUUUUUUUUGCCUUGUGGCCAGUACAUCAGUUAUUUACUUUGUCCUCUUGCCUCAUGCAAUCAUUGUAAGAGCACAGUGCUGGCCUGAUCAGGCAGAGGACUGUAGGAUGUGCUACUGGUUCUUCCGGCCUGCGCUGCAUGUCUUCACAGAGUGAAGCUCCGUUGUGGUAUAGCACUGGGAUUCUCAGAUGCCUUCUUUUGUUUUGCUCAUUGUGCAAAUCUGAGAUCCUUUCUUGUUCCAAGCUUUAACAUCUGUAGCAAUGAAAUGCACCACAAUCACAAACUAGUUUAUGUCCUGCUUUUAUUUUUCCCAUAAAUAAAGUCAAAUAAUUAA